AGAUCGGCGGCGGACGGCUUUCUCGCUAACCCGGUCAGGUCCGGAAGGAAGCAGCCGUAACGAGUUUCAAGCCGGGUCGUCUGCCGGUCUCCU
rnacentral:SRP_RNA from 1 species